rnacentral:lncRNA from 1 species
UCUGCUUCAGCUCUCUCGCGUUUUAUGGAAGAAAUUAUGAUCUCCAUAUUCUUUCCUGACACGGCGCAGGCCAAAACCAAAAUUCCAUCCUGAAAGCAACCUACAGAAUGAACCUGCAUGCAUUAAACACCAUUUGGUUUCUCCCUAACCAGAUAUUAUGUAGAGUGUAGCAAAUUACCUUGAUCCCGUACGGGUUAGCCAUAGACAACCAG